rnacentral:sRNA from 1 species
GGGUGGCAGGGUCCUUGGAGACGGAGACUCAGAUCAAAGCCCCGGCCGCUCACUGUGCUUCUCUCCUCCCCACCCAGCCCCUUUGAUGCCAAGAAUCCGUUCCUGGCUGCAGUCACCACCAACCGGAAGCUGAACCAGGGAACCGAGCGCCACCUCAUGCACCUGGAAUUGGACAUCUCAGACUCCAAAAUCAGGUAUGAAUCUGGGGACCACGUGGCUGUGUACCCAGCCAACGACUCUGCUCUCGUCAACCAGCUGGGCAAAAUCCUGGGUGCCGACCUGGACAUUGUCAUGUCCCUGAACAACCUGGAUGAGGAGUCCAACAAGAAGCACCCAUUCCCGUGCCCUACGUCCUACCGCACGGCCCUCACCUACUACCUGGACAUCACCAACCCGCCGCGCACCAACGUGCUGUACGAGCUGGCGCAGUACGCCUCGGAGCCCUCGGAGCAGGAGCUGCUGCGCAAGAUGGCCUCCUCCUCUGGCGAGGGCAAGGAGCUGUACCUGAGCUGGGUGGUGGAGGCCCGGAGGCACAUCCUGGCCAUCCUGCAGGACUGCCCGUCCCUGCGGCCCCCCAUCGACCACCUGUGUGAGCUGCUGCCGCGCCUGCAGGCCCGCUACUACUCUAUCGCCUCAUCCUCCAAGGUCCACCCCAACUCUGUGCACAUCUGUGCGGUGGUUGUGGAGUACGAGACCAAGGCCGGCCGCAUCAACAAGGGCGUGGCCACCAACUGGCUGCGGGCCAAGGAGCCUGCCGGGGAGAACGGCGGCCGUGCACUGGUGCCCAUGUUCGUGCGCAAGUCCCAGUUCCG